UCAUCUGAUGAAAACCUUGACAACAACAACUUGAAUUUCUUCAUCCGAACAGGACCAUGUGGAACCAAAUCAUAGCUUUUUAACCCUGAUU
rnacentral:snoRNA from 1 species